UUGCUCUAAACCAUGAUGGAAUUACCGUAUGUUGCUGCACAUUGGAAUAAAUCACCUUUCUAUCCAAUUAAAAAAAAAACAUUACACAAUCGGGGGAGUAGAAAUCUCUUUAAAUGCAGUCGAGCCUGAUUGAUUUUUAUGUUGUCUUCGCAAUGUUCUGCAUUGUUCACAGCCUUUAAUAAAAUAAUGUUAGGAAAUAGCCGAGCAUGAACAUAAUUAGAACAUGCGGCUGGAUUUGAUGUAUAUACACUAAGGUUGUGUUAGGUUAGUACAAUCAGACUUAUCGGUCUCAUGUGUGGAACAAUGUUUCUCAUGCAGAGCUACAAAGUACCACCCAAACCUACACACUAAAAUCUCUCACUCACAAACCCUGUCAUUUCCUCUCUCCGCUGCCAACUAUAUUUACCACCCUCACAAACUCGCUUCACACCAAUCCGGCUGCUCCCCCCUAUAUUUUCGUGUCAUCUCAUGUCUCCCUUCAUCUCUCUCUCUCUGCUACCUUUCAAUGUACAACAAGUCUGCACCAUCUGGUCACUGAGGAGGGAGACAGGAAGGGAGAGCUCCAAUCAAUAGACACUCUGCCUUGUGGCAGAGCUAGAAAUCAAUGGUAGCGGGGAAUUAAGCUGUAGUCUUUGAAUAAAUUGAAGACGCUGGAGCAGGCAACGAAACCACUUGGUGCAAGAAGAGUAAACCUGUUCAGAUUAAAAUGUAAAGGAUGUUUGUUGGGCUUUGCGCUGAGAAUACCUCGAGUCACAAGUACUCUGCCUUAGAGGAGAUACUAAGGCCUUUGUAAUGCUGGUGUCCUGAAAUAAAACGAUAGCAGUGCAUUCACUCUGCAAAGAGGAACAAGCUGAAAGAAUGGAAUGUGCUUUGUAGGAGCAAGAGGGCAUAUUUGGGAUUUGUGCAGAGAAAAGGCUUGAUAGAGAAGACAGCGUUGUGACGGAGCUGCUUCUCACCUCAGCUUGCAAUUCAUAGUUAAAAAAAGAAGAAAGAAAUCUGUUUAUAAAAAGACAACUCCCUUAGGAUUCAUAUUAGUACGAGGGAGGUUCAGCUUGGCAUCUGUUCAAGAGCAGAACAAAAAAAAUGAAAACAUAUUGCAUGCAGUAAAUAUUGACAUGUUAAAUGUGAAGAACAAAGACACAGGUCAAUGAUCUAUUCAGAAAAGCAAAGAAGCGUGAAUGCAAGUUUAAAAGUAUGAAAUACUGUUCACUUAUUAUUUUACUGAUGCAGUAAUGACAGGAAAUGGAGCAUUAAUGAUUUAGGUUGGUAUUUUCUUUUGCUAAUUAAAAGAUAACUGUAACCUACUGAAAGGCGUGAUUAUGAGGACUUUACCCAUCCUCUAAAAGUCUACACCAUAGUCAAUAAUUCAUUCCAACCCUGGCAGUUUAUUCAAAUCAGUGAGCUUUGAAAAACAACAUAAACAAAAAAAAAGGGGGGAACUAGAAAGACAACAAGAGAGAAGGAGAUGGACCAGAAUUAGAAGGAGCACAACAGAGAGACAGACGACGAUGAGACAGAGAAAGAAAGAAAGUCAAAGAGAGGAGCAGACAGCACGUUGAGUGAGACGGAAAGAGUUAGAGAGAGUCUGUUGUUUUUGCUGGUGACAACUGCAAAAGCCAUUUCCUCGAAUGUGAUGCAAAUGAUUGGGACAUCCUUCCUGCGUGAUGAUCCUGGCGCCCCGGAGAGACCAAAGGUUGCCAUCUGGAGGAAAAGCGAUGGGUUUGGCUUUGAGACAGGGAGAAAGGGCUGGAGGACAUCUGUGACCUGUGGGCUGGUGGUCGCCAGCCAAGGUCUGCCUCAUGUGCUAUGAUGGAUGGCGAGGGGCGCGGUUGGGUGUCUGACUGAGUGGAGGUGUCUGAGAGGGGGGAGUGGAGCCAUGGUGCACAAGCAUGGGUUGGUGUCUUCUUUUCUCAUUUACAGAAUGACGAGCCAAUACAGGUCCAUCACUACGCGUGCAGCUCCGUGCCGUCAACAUCUGUGAGACCGAGGUCAGCGCGCCGACCAGCUGGGGUGUUUACGAGGUGCGACGUUUGAGACCAUGGAACGCUUUUCUGUAAAAAAAUCAUGUAGCAGAUGCCUGGAGUUAUCUAACAUCCAUUAUGAGCUCCUCUCCGCCCACAGUAUGAUACGAUUUGGAAAAAUGUGAGACAGUGGGUGUGAAGAACGGAAGAGGGGGGCGUGAGGGGGGGUCUGAGACAGGGCCAUGUGGAAGAGAAAAUAAACCCUUUUCUGAUUUUACACGCACAUCUAAACUCGACGUUCACAGAGGCAGAGGCCCUGUUUUUUUGUCCCGCAUAAUGAAACUCAAGCCAGUUGAGCCUGGCUGCUCUUUUUUGCCAAUUUUAAGGUAACUACAGUGAAAUAAACGACCUCUGACAUCUGCAUGAGUUUUCAUUUCGUUGGUAGCUCACGGCUCCAGAAAGCAACCCGAUAACCCUCCAACACCGACUUCUGAGGUCAGCGGGUGAACUAAACUAAACUGAAGUGUUUGAAGUGAGCGCAUUCCCAGGAUACU
ensembl:lncRNA